AAGUCGUAACAAGGUUUCCGUAGGUGAACCUGCGGAAGGAUCAUUAACACGUAUCCAAACGUUAAACCCCCCUGUGAACCUUCAGUGUACUCGUACGUCCGUUAGAAAAAGCAGCAAUCCCUGGUAAAUCAUCGCCGAACAGUUUUCGAUUCAGGGACGUCUGCAAGGAGCGUGCAUGUUGUGCGAAGCAAGUGGCCUGGCAUCCCCAAGCAGUUAGUGUCUGAAAGUGUCAUUAACUGUGUAAGGAUGACGCAGUCACGAUCGUUGGAGGCCCACACGGCCGACGACCGGGCCUCUGGGCGCAAGCCCCCCUAUAACAAACGCUGCUAAUCGCGGCCGCGAUAAUACGCAGUCGACCAAAAACCGAACAACUGUUAACAAUGGAUAUCUUGGUUCUC
rnacentral:misc_RNA from 1 species